CCUACGCCGCCGCCAUGACACUCGGGGCAGGGUAGUUCGGACGCGACGGGGGUUCCGAGCCCUCGCGGCUCUGCAGGACGAUGCCCAAGGCCUGCUCCGCCAUUAACUGCCCGACACGCGCGAGAACCGCGCCCGGGGACUGUCCUUCCACAGGCCUGCUGGGAGCUAGUCUCCUUGGGGGCGGGGCUAGUGUCUCUGGGGCGGAGUCUGCUCUCUGCCCUCACGGUUGUACCUAUGGGUCCGUGCCAGCAAGUCGGCAUCGAUGCCUUGGGGCAGACCUGGACAUGGGGAACAGGCUUCCCCAAAGCCCAUGAACUAAGGAAGAAGUAGAUGUUGGCUGUGAAGCGCAUCGAGCCCAGCUCCAAGAGGCUGUGGAUCCCAGGUGCUGGAGCCUGCCUCUGCUCACAGCACUUCACCCUAGAUGAGUUUGAGCUUUAUGGAGGGCAGAAGCAACUGAAGGCUAGUGUAAUCCCAUCUGUGUUCUCAUUUAAGGUUCUGCUGCUGACUUUUGUGGAGCCUCAGGCAAGGUCUGUGAGGCAUAGUUUCCCUGUCUGUUACACAUGGUUUCCUUGGCUGCUUCCCUUUGUGCUAGGGUUACAGAGCAAGCAUAUGGAGAUCCUCAGUUGAAG